CAGCCUCGGGCUGAGUGGGCCAUCGGCACACGUUUGCCGAAUGGCUCACUGGCUGAGUGAACGGAUAAGUUAAGGAAUGAAAAGAGUUAUGAACAGGAGCCAAGCAAAGAGGGGCCUGCACCUGAAGGCUAUACGUGCUCUAGGAAAAAAUCCACCCAGAGACCACCGCAGGGAUGGGCCCACAUGAAGGUGAUCCAGUGGUCCUGGGGAAGGCGUCUGGGAGGCUAGGAAAACACGGAAUCCAACAGCUCCCUGCAGAGAAGUCAAGGAAGAGGAUGCACUGGCCCAGCCUCUCCCACCCUCGCUAUUUUCUUUCCCCUUCUCAGUGGGAAGAUUGUGG
rnacentral:lncRNA from 1 species